GACGAGCGCUGGCGGCGUGCCUAAUACAUGCAAGUCGAGCGAAUCUCAGGGAGCUUGCUCCCUGAGAUUAGCGGCGGACGGGUGAGUAACACGUGGGUAACCUGCCUGUAAGACUGGGAUAACUUCGGGAAACCGGAGCUAAUACCGGAUACUUUCUUUUCUCGCAUGAGGGAAGAUGGAAAGAUGGUUCUGCUAUCACUUACAGAUGGACCCGCGGCGCAUUAGCUAGUUGGUGAGGUAACGACUCACCAAGGCAACGAUGCGUAGCCGACCUGAGAGGGUGAUCGGCCACACUGGGACUGAGACACGGCCCAGACUCCUACGGGAGGCAGCAGUAGGGAAUCUUCCGCAAUGGACGAAAGUCUGACGGAGCAACGCCGCGUGAGUGAAGAAGGUUUUCGGAUCGUAAAACUCUGUUGUCAGAGAAGAACAAGUCGGAGAGUAACUGCUCCGGCCUUGACGGUAUCUGACCAGAAAGCCACGGCUAACUACGUGCCAGCCGCCGCAGUAA
rnacentral:rRNA from 1 species